rnacentral:snRNA from 1 species
GUGUUCGAUUUGGUAGCACAGAUACUAAAGUUGGAACAAUACAGAGAAGACAGGUUUGGCCUCUGAGCAAGACCCUCAGUUAGUGAAGCAUGCUGUAUUAAG